rnacentral:rRNA from 1 species
UACGGAGGGUGCAAGCGUUGUUCGGAAUUACUGGGCGUAAAGCGGGUGUAGGCGGCCGCACAAGUCAGAUGUGAAAUCCCUGGGCCCAACCCAGGAACUGCAUUUGAUACUGCGUGGCUCGAGUCCCGGAGAGGAUGGCGGAAUUCCAGGUGUAGAGGUGAAAUUCGUAGAUAUCUGGAGGAACACCAGCGGCGAAGGCGGCCAUCUGGACGGUGACUGACGCUCAGACCCGAAAGCGUCGGGAGCAAACAUG